CCUACGGGUGGCAGCAGUGAGGAAUAUUGGUCAAUGGUCGGGAGACUGAACCAGCCAAGCCGCGUGAGGGAGGAAGGUACAGAGUAUCGUAAACCUCUUUUGUCAGGGAACAAAGACUGGGACGCGUCCCCGGAUGAGUGUACCUGAAGAAAAAGCAUCGGCUAACUCCGUGCCAGCAGCCGCGGUAAUACGUAGGGGGCAAGCGUUGUCCGGAAUGACUGGGCGUAAAGGGAGUGUAGGCGGCUCAUCAAGUUAGAUGUGAAAUCCCGCGGCUUAACCGCGGAACUGCAGCUAAAACUGGUAAGCUGGAGUGCAGGAGAGGUGAGUGGAAUUCCUAGUGUAGCGGUGGAAUGCGUAGAUAUUAGGAGGAACACCAGAGGCGAAGGCGACUCACUGGACUGUAACUGACGCUGAGGCUCGAAAGCGUGGGGAGCAAACAGGAUUAGAUACCCCUGUAGUC
rnacentral:rRNA from 1 species